rnacentral:rRNA from 1 species
GCCGCCUGGCCGCGGGAUUUCCGUAGGUGACCUGCGGAGGGACAUUUCUGAUGGCGGCGCCGCUUGUCGGCUGUUGCCUGCGACCUCGGUCCAGCGAUGGAGAUUUAUCUCCUGCGCUUCGGUCGGGCUUUGGUCUGGCCGUAAGAAAUAGGGACUUGUCCCACCCAAACCAAAACAGUUUGCUAUAUCAGUCUGAUGUACGAACAAAGAAAACAAAAGUGAAUUACUCUAAACGGUGGAUCACUCGGAUCAUGUAUCGAUGAAGAACGCAGCGAAAUGCGAUAGCUGGCGUGAAAUGCAGAAACCUGUGAACGUUGAAUUUUCGAACUCAAAUGGAGCAGAUGGUAAUACCGUCUGCACGUUCUUAUGACUGCUGGAUAGUUACCAAAGCUAAAUGCUCUGCACUGGCUGUUCUGUUGGCGUUUGUCGAUGGACGGCUGAAUCAAGUGUAUCAGUCGAACCGUCCUGAAUGUAACAUUCAGCGUCUCUGGUGAAUUCUUGAGGCUUGAGUGUUGCUGAAGGCGGCCGGCGUUAUCCCAUCAGCGUCAUAUAGAGCGAGGCUACCCGCUGAAUUUAAGCAUAUCAAU